rnacentral:rRNA from 1 species
GUGCCAGCCGCCGCGGUAAUACGGAGGGUGCGAGCGUUAAUCGGAAUUACUGGGCGUAAAGCGCACGCAGGCGGUUUGUUAAGCUAGAUGUGAAAGCCCCGGGCUCAACCUGGGAUGGUCAUUUAGAACUGGCAGACUAGAGUCUUGGAGAGGGGAGUGGAAUUCCAGGUGUAGCGGUGAAAUGCGUAGAUAUCUGGAGGAACAUCAGUGGCGAAGGCGACUCCCUGGCCAAAGACUGACGCUCAUGUGCGAAAGUGUGGGUAGCGAAC